rnacentral:piRNA from 1 species
UUUAAUUGGCAUUAAAGAACG